UGUCUAGGGGGAUAGAGGCGAAGUUGUCUAAAUAACAUCCGUUAGUUGCCUGCGACAAGUGGUAAGUUGUCUGGGGGUUGGCAACUUCACAUCACUUUUGUUGUCCGAGGAAAGUGGCGAAUCUUCCUGGGGUAUCAACUUUACAACACUUUCAAAGCAACUUUCCUCCUAACGGACGCAACUCUAGUGAUAUACAGUUCAUUGCACUAUGUGUACUAGUGAAUUUGUCUAACUUUCUCCUAACUUUGCCCAACACGGAGGCUAAGUUGUCUACCCGUUGAUGCUCAGAUGCCUACCAUUGUCUCUAAGUUGCCUAUCAUCGGUCAUUGCAGAUUUUGAAUUUAGUCGCCUAUUGUGAUUGACAAGUUGCUUUAUAUUGUAAAUUAGUCGCCGACAAUCGACGCUCAGUCGUGCCGUCACUAACGAGUUACCUACCAUAAAAUGAAAAUUGGCCCAUUGUUGUUUCAAAGAUUUGUCUGCCUCUAAAGCUAAGUUGCUUAUAGUACUAGAAAGUACUUGUAGGCAAGUUAGAACAAUGUUUAGGAUACUCACUAGUUCAUGUUAGGCAACUUAGAGAUGAUGUUAUGCAACUUUAGAAGCGAUGUCAUACAACUUGACAAUCAUCACCCCCAACUUAGGGAAAGCAUUUAGUUGAUAGGCAGUCAUGAUAGGCAACUUUAUAGGUGAUAUGUGGCAACUUGAUGGUACUGGUAGCCAACUUAGAAGUAGAAGUGCUUGAGUAAAUAGGUAAUCAUGAUAGACAAUCUACUACAAAGUUGCUUCCUUUAGCACCAAAGUUGCCCCAUAUAGAACAUGGUGGAAUUUGUUGGAGAUUUGGGGAGGGCUGCGAGGGGAAACCUAUGGUGUUGGUGUUGAAUCGAUUGGUAGUGGUGUUGAAUUGACGAAUCUGCACGCUGGGGGCGGAAUGUUCUAUGGUCAAGUUUUGUGGUCUACUCGCGGGUGACGAUGGACGAACGUGACAAGCCAGCGAUGCAGCGGGGCUAGGGCUUUGGUUGACCUCGUCCAUGCAUGGGUCAUGGAUAAUUAUGCGGUGGAAAAGAGCGGGACGCCCCCUGGUGUCUUCUCAUAGGAGAACCUAGCUUAGCAAGUGAUGCACAUGGAUGCCAGGUUGAGGGGAUGGGUGGAGGGUCGGGGACAAGUUGCCAGUGCAGAGGCGACGAGUUGCCAGAUCUACAACAAAGUUUGCCAGAUCAUUUUUCCUGAGAGUGUGGUUUUCAAUUUUCUUCCCACAACUUGUCUAAACUUUGAUUAGUAGGCGCCUCUGUUUUAAUUUUCGACUUUCCUAAUUGUUUGGCGAGCAGUUUGCCUGGAGUUUGCUAAAAAACUUGCCGCUCAAUGCUCCAAAACUUGGUAUACUUGAUAUUUUAGUAGACACACAAGUCGUACUAGGUUGCAACUUUUAUACAUGUAAAUUAUUGUAGUUACAAUCGUCAGAUCCAUGUGUUCUUCACAAAUCACAUUCAUGGGCCAGUUUACAUACCUAGGUUCACAUUGUUGUCAUCAAGUGUUUUGUAAUGCAUUAUUCUACCAUUAUGGGGGCGCUGAUCUUCCCAUUUCCAUAUUUUUUCCUUUUGUCUUUCUUGUAUCAGAUUAGGAGUUGGCUGGGACGAGCAAAAUCGUGAUUAGCAGCAGCCAGAAUUGACCCAGCAUGCAUAGGGGUUCAUUCAAGUUAUUAGAGCAUGGUCAUGUCCACCAGAGGAGAUGGGGGGCGAGAUGGAACUUUCAUCUGGGUCAAGAUCUUUCUUUUUUGGAAUGGAGGAUGGAGGCAUGCAUUGGGUUGGUGAGAUGGACAAUACGUGGGGCGUGGGGGGCCUUUUUGCGUUC